rnacentral:rRNA from 1 species
CUGGCGGCGUGCCUAAUACAUGCAAGUCGAGCGAAUGAAGAGGAGCUUGCUCCUCUGAUUUAGCGGCGGACGGGUGAGUAACACGUGGGUAAUCUGCCUGUAAGACGGGGAUAACUCCGGGAAACCGGGGCUAAUACCGGAUAAUAAGAAGAAACGCAUGUUUCUUUUUUGAAAGUCGGUUUCGGCUGACACUUACAGAUGAGCCCGCGGCGCAUUAGCUAGUUGGUGAGGUAACGGCUCACCAAGGCGACGAUGCGUAGCCGACCUGAGAGGGUGAUCGGCCACACUGGGACUGAGACACGGCCCAGACUCCUACGGGAGGCAGCAGUAGGGAAUCUUCGGCAAUGGGCGAAAGCCUGACCGAGCAACGCCGCGUGAGCGAUGAAGGCCUUCGGGUCGUAAAGCUCUGUUGUUAGAGAAGAACAAGUACGAGAGUAACUGCUCGUACCUUGACGGUACCUAACCAGAAAGCCACGGCUAACUACGUGCCAGCAGCC